rnacentral:lncRNA from 8 species
AUGCUGAGCUCUCUGGGAGCCAGAAGAGACAGAAGCCAAAGCCCCACAGAAGACCAGCCCCCACCCAAGAUCUUCAUCCAGCCUGAAGAGGGAACUCAACCCAAACAGCCUCAAUCACUCUCUCUUGCCAGGCAUGUAACUCAGGCCUUUGAUCAAUUAGCAUCUCAGCCUGAUGUGAAGCCACAGCCACAGUCCCAGCCUUCCCCUAAACCACAAGCUCAGGCCCAACACCCACCAAUACCACAGAUUAUAGUCCAGGAAUACAGAGAGAAGAAGGCAAGUCCCAGUCCUCCACUCCUGUAUUCCUAUGCACAAGCUGUGACUCAGUCAAAGGGCCGAGCACAGUCACCUCCAGAGCCACAGGUUGCUGCCCAGAGCAAAAAACACUCUCCACCCCUAACCCAGAAACAACCACUAGUGCAGCAACAGCCACUAUCUCAACAACGGCGUCCAACUCAGCAACAAGUACUCUCUCAGCAACAAGUACUCUCUCAGCAACAAGUACUCUCUCAGCAACAAGUACUCUCUCAGCAACAAGUAGUCUCUCAGCAACAAGUACUAUUUCAACAACAGGUUCUAUCUCAACAACAAAUAUCUGCUCAGCAGCAGGUUCAAAGCCAGAAACAGGCCCAACAACCAGCACAGGCCCAGAAACAGACUCCAUCUCAGCAACCGGAAAAGACACAGAAGCAACCUCUAACCAAGGAAGAGAUGCAGAGCCGGAAGAAUCAACCUCAGGCCAUGAAGAACCGACCCUGGCUCCAAAAGAAGGCCAAGGAUCAGGAUCAGGAUCAGGCUUCAGCCCAGGCUCCAUCCCAAGCUCCAGCCCAGGCUCCAUCCCAAGCCCCAGCCCAGGCUCCAUCCCAAGCCCCAGCCCAAGCUCCAUCCCAAGCCCCAGCCCAAGCUCCAUCCCAAGCUCCAGCCCAGGCUCCAUCCCAAGCUCCAGCCCAGGCUCCAUCCCAAGCCCCAGCCCCGGGUCCAUCCCAAGCUCCAGCCCCGGGUCCAUCCCAAGCUCCAGCCCCGGGUCCAUCCCAAGCUCCAGCCCCGGGUCCAUCCCAAGCUCCAGCCCCGGGUCCAUCCCAAGCUCCUGCCCAGGCUUCUAAUCAAACACAGGCUCAACAACAGCCAGAGAAACCAAUCAUGUCUCAAGUCCCUGUCCAGGUAGUUCCACAGCCUGCAGGAACACCCAGGCCCCAGCCUCAGGCACAAGCCAGGACUAUGUUUCCUUCUCAAUCACAGGCCAUGGCUAGUGCUCAGGUUCUACCCCAAGCAGGGCCACAGCAAGUCCCCCAGGCAUAUCUUUAUGGCCAGCCUCCUGCCCAAUCUCUGACCCAACCCCAAGCAAAGACCAAGAAUCACACUAAACCUAAACCAAUGGCCCAAACCAAACAGCAACCCAAGACUAUUAUCCAUGCUCCAUCCCAAACCAUGACUCACACUGAACCCCAGCCCAUAACUCAAGGCCAAGCACAACUCAUGACCUAUGGUCAAUCUCAACCUAUGACCUACUCACAAUCACAGAUGCAGGCCAUGUCUAAAUCCCGGAUGACUCAAGAGAAACCCCAGCCACAGGUCGAGAAACCUCAGCCACAGGUCCAGAAACCACAGCCACAGGUUCAGCCACAGGUUCAUCAACUGAUGCAUCCACAGUCUCAAGCUCAGGCCCAACCACAUCACCAAGCGUGGGCCCCAGUCAGGCCACCUCAAACACUCACUGAGACGCACUGGCUGGGCCUGCAUCCACAGGCCCAGCCUCACCCCCAGGCUCACCCACAACUCCAGGCCCAGCCUCACCCUCAAGUUCAGCCUCAACUCCAGGCCCAACCUCACCCUCAAGUUCAGCCUCAGCCUCAAGUUCAGCCUCAACCCCGGGCCCAUCCUCAACCUCAUGUCCAGCCUCACCCCCAGGCCCAGCCUCACCCUCAUGUCCAGCCUCACCCCCAGGCCCAGCCUUAUCCUCAAGUCCAGGCCCAGCCUCAUCCUCAAGUCCAGCCUCAUCCUCAAGUCCAGGCUCAUCCCCAGGCUCAGUCUCACCCUCAAGUUCAGCCUCAUUCCCAAGUCCAUCCUCAACCCCAGGCCCAGCUUCACCUACAGGCCCAGCUUCACCCCCAGGCCCAGACUUACCCUCAAGCUCAGCCUCACUCCCAGGCCCAGCUUCAUCCUCAUCCUUAUUCCCCUGCUCAGGCUCAACCCCAACAAUGGGCCCCAGUUAGACCCUUCAGCCCAACUUACCCUCAGCCAAAGGGUCAUCCCCAGCCAAUAACCCAGGUAUCCCCAGUCAGACCUGAACCACGGCCACAAGCCUAUCCUCAGCCCAUCAUGGUCCAGCGUCACCCUCUUCCUCAGGCUUACCCACUAGGUCAAGCUCCACCGCAGCAAUGGGCCCCAAUCAGGCCAGAGCAAGCCCCCCAGGCAUAUCUUUAUGGCCAGCCUUAUGGCCAACCUCAAGCCCAAAUACAGCCCCAAAGCCAUGUUCAACAGCAGCCUCAGGUGAGAGCUUACAACCUUACCAAUGUUAAGGCCCAGCAAGGCCCGUUCCAACAGCAGCCAUGGGCCCAGUCCCAUCCCCAGCCUCAAAUUCAACCCCAGCCAUAUUUCCAGCCUCAGCCACCUCCCCAGACCCAAAUUCAACCCACAACCCAUUUGCAGCCUCAGCCCCUCUCUCAGACUCAUUCUCAGCCCCAGAUCCAGACCCAGCCCAAACUUCAGCCUCAGCCCCACUCUCAAACUCAUUCUCAGCCCCAGAUCCAGCCCAAGCUUCAGCCUCAACCCCACUCUCAGCCACAGCCUGAGCCACAGAUCCAGAUGGACCCCAAGCCCCAGACCCAUAUCCAGCCUCAAACCCACUCACAGCCCCAGACCAAGCCUCAGUCUCAGCUCCAGCCCAUGACCCAGCCCAUGCCCCAGCCGCAACCAGAGCCACCACCCCAGCCCAGUAUCCAGCCUCAGACCCAGACCCAACCCCAGCCACCUCCCCAGCCCAAUAUCCAGCCUCUUCCCCAGGUCAAGCCUCAGCUCCAGCCUAAGACCCAGCCCCAGCUCCUUUUUGAGCCUCAUCUCCUUCCCCAGUCACCACCAGAUUCCCCGGAGCUCCAGAUAAAACCCCCAGCUCUGGCCCAGGCCCCACCCCAGGCUUACACCGAGGCCUAUGCCAAAGCUCAGGCCCUGGCCAGGAACCAGUUUGAGGAGGCCAAGCACUGCCUGCAGGAGCACAUCCUGGCUGCCAUUAAUGUCUUCAAAGACAAACACAUAUCUAUCGAACAAGCUUCAGUGAAGGAGGUAAGGAAUUUGAAUACUUUUUUUGGUUUAUAG